CUCUGCCAUGGAUCACAACGGCCUUGAUCACUCAGAACCAUACUAUGAACACGUGUACACGGAAAACCCUCCUCACAGGUCCAAGUAACAACGGGCUCUACUCCCUCUGUGUGCCAUCCAUCCGUCCUCUACACAAAGUUGCCUUUUCUGUUGUUCGUGCUUCUCAAGAUACAUGGCAUCGAAGACUUGGACAUCCACAUCCAGAUCUAUUGAAGUCUAUGUUAUCUCUUUUUUCACUUCCUGUUAGUAAUAAAAGUUUGUCAUCCUCUUGUACCUCGUGUCACAUGGGGAAAUCCUCAAAACUUCAUUUGUUUCCUUCAACUUUUAAGAGUAAUAAUGUUUUGGAUUUAAUUUUUUGUGAUGUGUGGGGUCCUGCACCAAUUAAAUCAUUGAAUGGUGAUUCUUAUUUUUUACGAUGUGUUGAUCAUUUUACUCGUUAUAUGUGGAUUUUUUCCUUAAAACAUAAAUCAGAUGUGUGUGUUACAUUCAAAAAUUUUCAUGCUAUGGUUGAACGACAAUUUAAGACCAAGCUCAAAUCUGUCCAAACUGAUUGGGGUGGGGAGUUUCGACCUCUCUCUCCUUUUUUUACCUCUCUAGGUAUCAUUCAUCGUCUCUCUUGUCC
rnacentral:lncRNA from 1 species